CACGUAGGGUGCGAGCGUUGUCCGGAAUUAUUGGGCGUAAAGAGCUCGUAGGCGGUGUGUCGCGUCGGCCGUGAAAACCUGCAGCUUAACUGUGGGCUUGCGGUCGAUACGGGCAUCACUGGAGUUCGGCAGGGGAGACUGGAAUUCCUGGUGUAGCGGUGAAAUGCGCAGAUAUCAGGAGGAACACCAAUGGCGAAGGCAGCUCGCUGGGACGGUACUGACGCUGAGGCGCGAAAGCGUGGGGAGCAAACAGG
rnacentral:rRNA from 1 species